GACGAACGCUGGCGGCGUGCCUAAUACAUGCAAGUCGAGCGAACAGAUGAAGUGCUUGCACUUCUGACGUUAGCGGCGAACGGGUGAGUAACACGUAAGGAAUCUACCUAUAAGCGGGGGAUAACAUUUGGAAACGGGUGCUAAUACCGCAUAAUAUCUUCUUCCGCAUGGAAGAAGAUUGAAAGACGGCUCUGCUGUCACUUAUAGAUGACCUUGCGGUGCAUUAGUUAGUUGGUGGGGUAAUGGCCUACCAAGACGAUGAUGCAUAGCCGACCUGGGAGGGUGAUCGGCCACAUUGGGACUGAGACACGGCCCAACCUCCUACGGGAGGCAGCAGUAGGGAAUCUUCCGCAAUGGGCGAAAGCCUGACGGAGCAAUGCCGCGUGAGUGAAGAAGGCCUUCGGGUCGUAAAACUCUGUUAUAAGAGAAGAACAAAUUGUAGAGUAACUGCUACAGUCUUGACGGUAUCUUAUCAGAAAGCCACGGCUAACUACGUGCCAGCCGCCGCCGUAA
rnacentral:rRNA from 1 species